GAGACUGCCGGUGUUAAGCCGGAGGAAGGUGGGGAUGACGUCAAGUCCUCAUGGCCUUUAUGCCCAGGGCUACACACGUGCUACAAUGGGCGGUACAAAGAGAAGCAACCUCGCGAGGGUGAGCAAAUCUCAAAAAGCCGUUCUCAGUUCGGAUUGAAGUCUGCAACUCGACUUCAUGAAGUCGGAAUCGCUAGUAAUCGCGGAUCAGCAUGCCGCGGUGAAUACGUUCCCGGGCCUU
rnacentral:rRNA from 1 species